GAUGAACGCUGACAGCAUGCUUAACACAUGCAAGUCAACUGUGGCGGACGGGUGAGUAACGCGUAAAGAACUUGCCUCACAGUUAGGGACAACAUUUGGAAACGAAUGCUAAUACCUGAUACUGUGAGAGAGCUUUGCGUCCCAUUAGCUAGUUGGAGAGGUAACGGCUCACAAAGGCGAUGAUGGUUAGCCGGCCUGAGAGGGUGAUCGGCCACAAGGGGACUGAGACACGGCCCUUACGCCGACGGGAGGAAGCAGUGGGGAAUAUUGGACAAUGGACCAAAGUCUGAUCCAGCAAUUCUGUGUGCACGAUGAAGUUUUCGGAAUGUAAAGUGAUUUCAGUUGGGAAGCGGUACCAACAGAAGAAGUGACGGCUAAAGACGUGCCAGCAGCCGCGGUAAUAC
rnacentral:rRNA from 1 species